UCCAAAAAUACAUCCAUCUCUUCUAGGCCUUCUGAUUUGUUUGCAUAUAGUUGCUUGUAAUAGUUCCUAAUAAUUUUCUGUAUGUCUGAGGUAUUUGUUGUUAUAUUUCCUCUUCAU